UACGUAGGGUGCAAGCGUUUGUCCGGAAUUAUUGGGCGUAAAGAGCUCGUAGGCGGUCUGUCGCGUCGGAUGUGAAAACCCAGGGCUCAACCCUGGGCCUGCAUUCGAUACGGGCAGACUAGAGUUCGGUAGGGGAGACUGGAAUUCCUGGUGUAGCGGUGAAAUGCGCAGAUAUCAGGAGGAACACCGGUGGCGAAGGCGGUUCUCUGGGCAUGUCCUGACGCUGAGGAGCGAAAGUGUGGGGAGCGAACAGG
rnacentral:rRNA from 1 species